rnacentral:miRNA from 1 species
GGCUUUUUUCUUUUGUCUUU